rnacentral:rRNA from 1 species
GACGAACGCUGGCGGCGUGCCUAAUACAUGCAAGUAGAACGCUGAAGAGAGGAGCUUGCUCUUCUUGGAUGAGUUGCGAACGGGUGAGUAACGCGUAGGUAACCUGCCUGGUAGCGGGGGAUAACUAUUGGAAACGAUAGCUAAUACCGCAUAAAAUGGAUUAUCGCAUGAUAAUCCAUUGAAAGGUGCAAAUGCAUCACUACCAGAUGGACCUGCGUUGUAUUAGCUAGUUGGUGGGGUAACGGCUCACCAAGGCGACGAUACAUAGCCGACCUGAGAGGGUGAUCGGCCACACUGGGACUGAGACACGGCCCAGACUCCUACGGGAGGCAGCAGUAGGGAAUCUUCGGCAAUGGACGGAAGUCUGACCGAGCAACGCCGCGUGAGUGAAGAAGGUUUUCGGAUCGUAAAGCUCUGUUGUAAGAGAAGAACGAGUGUGAGAGUGGAAAGUUCACAC